UACGAAGGGUCCAAGCGUUAUCCGGAUUUAUUGGGUUUAAAGGGUGCGUAGGCGGCUUAUUAAGUCAGUGGUGAAAGCCUGUAGCUCAACUACAGAACUGCCCAUUGAUACUGAUGAGCUUGAAUAUACUUGAGGUUGGCGGAAUGUGUCAUGUAGCGGUGAAAUGCUUAGAUAUGACACAGAACACCGAUUGCGAAGGCAGCUAGCUAAAGUACAAUUGACGCUGAUGCACGAAAGCGUGGGGAGCAAACAGG
rnacentral:rRNA from 1 species